rnacentral:rRNA from 1 species
AUGAACGCUGGCGGCGUGCCUAAUACAUGCAAGUCGAGCGAACGGACGAGAAGCUUGCUUCUCUGAUGUUAGCGGCGGACGGGUGAGUAACACGUGGAUAACCUACCUAUAAGACUGGGAUAACUUCGGGAAACCGGAGCUAAUACCGGAUGAUAUUUUGAACCGCAUGGUUCAAAAGUGAAAGACGGUCUUGCUGUCACUUAUAGAUGGAUCCACGCUGCAUUAGCUAGUUGGUAAGGUAACGGCUUACCAAGGCAACGAUGCAUAGCCGACCUGAGAGGGUGAUCGGCCACACUGGAACUGAGACACGGUCCAGACUCCUACGGGAGGCAGCAGUAGGGAAUCUUCCGCAAUGGGCGAAAGCCUGACGGAGCAACGCCGCGUGAGUGAUGAAGGUCUUCGGAUCGUAAAACUCUGUUAUUAGGGAAGAACAUAUGUGUAAGUAACUGUGCACAUCUUGACGGUACCUAAUCAGAAAGCCACGGCUAACUACGUG